AUUGAACGCUGGCGGCAGGCCUAACACACGCAAGUCGAGCGGAUGGAGGGAGCUUGCUCCUGGAUUCAGCGGCGGACGGGUGAGUAAUGCCUAGGAAUCUGCCUGGUAGUGGGGGAUAACGUCCGGAAACGGGCGCUAAUACCGCAUACGUCCUGAGGGAGAAAGUGGGGGAUCUUCGGACCUCACGCUAUCAGAUGAGCCUAGGUCGGAUUAGCUAGUUGGUGGGGUAAAGGCCUACCAAGGCGACGAUCCGUAACUGGUCUGAGAGGAUGAUCAGUCACACUGGAACUGAGACACGGUCCAGACUCCUACGGGAGGCAGCAGUGGGGAAUAUUGGACAAUGGGCGAAAGCCUGAUCCAGCCAUGCCGCGUGUGUGAAGAAGGUCUUCGGAUUGUAAAGCACUUUAAGUUGGGAGGAAGGGCAGUAAGUUAAUACCUUGCUGUUUUGACGUUACCAACAGAAUAAGCACCGGCUAACUUCGUG
rnacentral:rRNA from 1 species